AGAGUUUGAUCCUGGCUCAGGAUGAACGCUAGCUACAGGCUUAACACAUGCAAGUCGAGGGGCAUCGGGAAGAAAGCUUGCUUUCUUUGCCGGCGACCGGCGCACGGGUGAGUAACACGUAUCCAACCUGCCCUUUACUCGGGGAUAGCCUUUCGAAAGAAAGAUUAAUACCCGAUAGCAUAAUGAUUCCGCAUGGUUUCAUUAUUAAAGGAUUCCGGUAAAGGAUGGGGAUGCGUUCCAUUAGGUUGUUGGUGAGGUAACGGCCCACCAAGCCUUCGAUGGAUAGGGGUUCUGAGAGGAAGGUCCCCCACAUUGGAACUGAGACACGGUCCAAACUCCUACGGGAGGCAGCAGUGAGGAAUAUUGGUCAAUGGGCGCUAGCCUGAACCAGCCAAGUAGCGUGAAGGAUGAAGGCUCUAUGGGUCGUAAACUUCUUUUAUAUAAGAAUAAAGUGCAGUAUGUAUACUGUUUUGUAUGUAUUAUAUGAAUAAGGAUCGGCUAACUCCGUGCCAGCAGCCGCGGUAAUACGGAGGAUCCGAGCGUUAUCCGGAUUUAUUGGGUUUAAAGGGAGCGUAGGUGGACUGGUAAGUCAGUUGUGAAAGUUUGCGGCUCAACCGUAAAAUUGCAGUUGAUACUGUCAGUCUUGAGUACAGUAGAGGUGGGCGGAAUUCGUGGUGUAGCGGUGAAAUGCUUAGAUAUCACGAAGAACUCCGAUUGCGAAGGCAGCUCACUGGACUGCAACUGACACUGAUGCUCGAAAGUGUGGGUAUCAAACAGGAUUAGAUACCCUGGUAGUCCACACAGUAAACGAUGAAUACUCGCUGUUUGCGAUAUACAGUAAGCGGCCAAGCGAAAGCAUUAAGUAUUCCACCUGGGGAGUACGCCGGCAACGGUGAAACUCAAAGGAAUUGACGGGGGCCC
rnacentral:rRNA from 1 species